GGAUAUCCUUAGUAUCCUCUCGAAUACUAAUCGUUCAGUCAUGGUCGUCGACGAAGAACGAAUGAGAGCAGAACUGGAAAAGAUGGCUGCUCAGGCUGACAUGGUGACGAACAAGUCUCUAGAUAGCACGAGAAGGAUGCUGGCAAUGGCAGAGGAAACUAGAAAUAUUGGAACUACCACAAUGGAAACUCUGGAUGAACAGGGAGAGCAACUCGUCCAGAUUGAGGAGGGAUUGGAUCAAAUCAAUGAAGACGUUUGACAUGCCGAGAAAAAUCUCACAGAGAUUGAAAAAUGUUGCGGCCUUUGUCUGUUUUCAUAAUGAGGAAUAUCGAGAAGACGGUUCAAUAUCAGAAAACAUUUGCAGACGGCAAUCGAGACGGAGUAUUCACUGAACAACCAGGUCACGUGCAACAAGAAAACGAUCGAGAAAAUGCUUUGUCAUUCAACAGCAAGCUAUCUCAAGAUGCUAAGCGAUUGACGUUUCUCUUUAGGACAUAACUAAGUGGGCACCUUUAAAAUGAGUGUGUAGAUGUUUGACUCAUUGACUGUCUGGAGACUUUGUACUUUACUUGUUUACUUUUGUGAUUUGAGGUCACAGGCGACAGAGCUGCGUGUGUUGCGUGGGCCAUGGCCACCCCACCUUUUAGAAAAUUGACUUCAACCAGUCAGCGAUUGGCAUAUUUUUCCGAUUAUUGGUCUUGCGAGUUGUAUACACGUCUCUGCCGACAACUGUAGCCUCGGAGUCGGUAACACCUAAGCAUAUACAGGCAUUUCAUUGUCAGUUGAUCACGGAAGUUGUGAACAUGCGGACCCUUUAUCUGACUUGUCAUCUCUGGAGAACUUGCCUGACAAAUGUAACCAACCAGGACACUUCUCGUUUCCUCAAAAAGAGUUUAAGAAACAGGUCAAGGUGAAGGGAAGCUAUCAGCCUUUGUGGUUUGACCAGUGGACUUGGCUACAUCACCGCAAGACAACGAUUCUGUUGCGAGUUUGCCAUGUCUAAGGCCACACUCGCUGAAAUGGUUCUAGUCGUCAUGUAAUGCUGACCAAGCAUUCUAAGUUUGUAGGUUGUUCAGAGCACUGACUGACUAUGUAUGGCAAUUAUGUUUUGUGCAAGUAGCUACAAGAUUGUAUGCAUGAGUAAAAGAGUAGUAGUUUUGGAAUACAAGAUGAAGUUGUAUAAUGCAGAAUUUUUUACUGUCAUAGCUGUAUGGUAGAACCACAUUGAUACAGCUGUUAGUUUUAUUACCACUCUUGUAAGAAAGGGCAUGCCCUCUCAACCUAGUUUUGCCACCCCACCUAAAAUUGCUUUUGUUGCCCUGGAGGUAAUAAUACAAAGACAAAUAUAGCAAUGGAUGUGAAAUAGCUUGGAUUCUAUUGCCUGUCUUCCAUCUAUUACUUGAAUGUUUGGGUUACUCAAAACGUGGAAAUAGAUG